CAUAGCAGCCAUAUCACCCUGCAACUCACAACCGGCAACCCACUGAAGCUAAGCAGGUGUGAGCCUGGUCAGUACCUGGAUGGGAGACCUCCUGGGAAAAACUAAGGUUGCUGCUGGAA
ensembl:rRNA 5S_rRNA 5S ribosomal RNA